rnacentral:lncRNA from 1 species
UCUAAGAUUCCUUUGCACUAUGGCUCCCCCUUCUGGUUCUGCAAUGAGUAGUUACAUUGUUCCUCAGAGUGCUGAAUUUUGAGAGCAAAGCAUUACAGAAAUGUAAAAAAAUCUUGAAGGCCAGGUGCGGUGUCUCAUGCCUGUAAUCCCAGCACUUUGGGAGGCUGAGAAAACAAGCUCAUAUUACCAAGUGUGAAAUUACAGCAAGUCUUACAGGCUGGGAACUGGAAAAGAGCUUCCCCAUCAUGGUGGAUUAUACAACCAGUGGUGGAGAGUAACUCCAAAAUAUAGCAUCUUUCUACUCAUCUUACUAAAGCUCAAAGAAGGUGAUCUACAAGAUAAUGAAAACAAGGCUCAAAAUAAAAACAAGAAAUCUUUAUGAAAUUACACAAAGUGUAUGUGUUUGAACUUGGAUUUGCUUCCAACUCUGCUUGACUCUGAAAACCAUGCCCUUUCCUCUACAUGAUAUGUUCAUAUGCUCUACCCCACUUAUGGGUGGAAACUCCUCCGUCAAGCUUAUUUAAUCAAUGAAUGAAUGACUCUUCUAAAGGCAGAUACCAGCAGGUUUGGUGGUAGAGCCAGUCCUGCAAAUGUGCUCAAUGUCUUAAGCCACCUGACAGCCAGACUCCAUAUGAAAAGAUUUAACUUCUUAUUAAAAUACCUAUAAUAGUCCAGGUGCAGUGGCUCACACCUGUAAUCCCAGCACUUCGGGAG